UACGAAGGGGGCUAGCGUUGUUCGGAAUUACUGGGCGUAAAGCGCACGUAGGCGGAUUUGUUAGUCAGGGGUGAAAUCCCGGGGCUCAACCUCGGAACUGCCUUUGAUACUGCAAGUCUCGAGUCCGGAAGAGGUGAGUGGAACAGCUAGUGUAGAGGUGAAAUUCGUAGAUAUUAGCUAGAACACCAGUGGCGAAGGCGGCCAACUGGUCCGACACUGACGCUGAGGUGCGAAAGCGUGGGGAGCAAACAGG
rnacentral:rRNA from 1 species